UCACUUUGAAACACCGAUUCUGAUACGAUCACCGAAGUUAAGCAACGCCGUGACUGGUCAGUGCCUAGAUGGGUGACCGCUUCGGAAUACCAGGUGAUGUAA